AGUGAACGCUGGCGGUAGGCCUAACACAUGCCAGUCGAACGGCAGCACAGUAAGAGCUUGCUCUUACGGGUGGCGAGUGGCGGACGGGUGAGGAAUACAUCGGAAUCUACUUUUUCGUGGGGGAUAACGUAGGGAAACUUACGCUAAUACCGCAUACGACCUACGGGUGAAAGCAGGGGAUCUUCGGACCUUGCGCGAUUGAAUGAGCCGAUGUCGGAUUAGCUAGUUGGCGGGGUAAAGGCCCACCAAGGCGACGAUCCGUAGCUGGUCUGAGAGGAUGAUCAGCCACACUGGAACUGAGACACGGUCCAGACUCCUACAGGAGGCAGCAGUGGGGAAUAUUGGACAAUGGGCGCAAGCCUGAUCCAGCCAUACCGCGUGGGUGAAGAAGGCCUUCGGGUUGUAAAGCCCUUUUGUUGGGAAAGAAAAGCAGCAGGUUAAUACCCCGCUGUUCUGACGGUACCCAAAGAAUAAGCACCGGCUAACUUCGUG
rnacentral:rRNA from 1 species